rnacentral:rRNA from 2 species
GCCAACGAGUGGCGGACGGGUGAGUAACACGUAGGUAACCUGCCCAGAAGCGGGGGACAACAUUUGGAAACAGAUGCUAAUACCGCAUAACAACGUUGUUCGCAUGAACAACGCUUAAAAGAUGGCUUCUCGCUAUCACUUCUGGAUGGACCUGCGGUGCAUUAGCUUGUUGGUGGGGUAACGGCCUACCAAGGCGAUGAUGCAUAGCCGAGUUGAGAGACUGAUCGGCCACAAUGGGACUGAGACACGGCCCAUACUCCUACGGGAGGCAGCAGUAGGGAAUCUUCCACAAUGGGCGCAAGCCUGAUGGAGCAACACCGCGUGAGUGAAGAAGGGUUUCGGCUCGUAAAGCUCUGUUGUUAAAGAAGAACACGUAUGAGAGUAACUGUUCAUACGUUGACGGUAUUUAACCAGAAAGUCACGGCUAACUACGUGCCAGCAGCCGCGGUAAUACGUAGGUGGCAAGCGUUAUCCGGAUUUAUUGGGCGUAAAGAGAGUGCAGGCGGUUUUCUAAGUCUGAUGUGAAAGCCUUCGGCUUAACCGGAGAAGUGCAUCGGAAACUGGAUAACUUGAGUGCAGAAGAGGGUAGUGAAACUCCAUGUGUAGCGGUGGAAUGCGUAGAUAUAUGGAAGAACACUAGUGGCGAAGGCGGCUACUUGGUCUGCAACUGACGCUGAGACUCGAAAGCGUGGGUCGCGAACAGGAUUAGAUACCCGGGUAGUCCAUGCCGUAAACGAUGAGUGCUAGGUGUUGGAGAGCUUCGCCCCUUUAGUGCCGGAGCUAACGCAUUAAGGCCCUCCCCCUGGGGAAGUA